GGGCCUGUAGCUCAGUGGAUUAGAGCACGUGGCUACGAACCACGAUGUCGGGGGUUCGAAUCCCCCCUGGCCCA
rnacentral:tRNA from 1 species